rnacentral:rRNA from 1 species
UACGUAGGGGGCUAGCGUUGUCCGGAUUUAUUGGGCGUAAAGAGCGUGUAGGCGGCCAGGUAGGUCUGGUGUGAAAACUCGAGGCUUAACCUCGAGAUGUCAUCGGAAACCAUCUGGCUAGAGUCCGGAAGAGGAGAGUGGAAUUCCUGGUGUAGCGGUGAAAUGCGUAGAUAUUGGGAGGAACACCGGUGGCGAAGGCGGCUCACUGGACCGGUACUGACGCUGAGACGCGAAAGCCAGGGGAGCAAACGGG